UGAUCCUACUACUUCAGCUUCCCGUGUAUCUGGGAUUACAGGAAGGAAAUAUUGGAGCCACUGAAGCAGUCGAUAGCUCAAGAUGGAGAGAGAGACUGGCAGGAAGCAACAAGAAAGAAAAUGCGUUGGAAACUGAGAAUGGCUAUGGCAAAAAGCAGCAAAGACCCUUGACUUCUAGUCCUUGAGGCAGGGGGCCAAAGCCAACACGGACCUACCAGGAGUGGCCUGAGAAUCCAGAACACAGAGAGGAGCAGCCUGCGUUGCGAUUUUCCCAGAACCCACAACACUUGUUCCACCAACAGUGAACAUCCAGAGGGAGGCUCAACCAUGGAACCUAUACUCUGUUAUGUGGUAAUCAUGCUUUCUCACCUUUUUGUUUUUUGAAAUAGGGUCUCACUCUGUCACUCAGGCUGGAG
rnacentral:lncRNA from 1 species